AUUGCAGGCUGCAACUCGCCUGCAUGAAGUUGGAAUUGCUAGUAAUCGCGAAUCAGAAUGUCGCGGUGAAUACGUUCCCGGGCCUUGUACACACCGCCCGUCACACCAUGAGAGUCGAUAACACCCGAAGCCUGUGAGCUAACCGCAAGGGGCAGCAGUCGAAGGUGGGGUUGAUGAUUGGGGUGAAGUCGUAACAAGGUAUC
rnacentral:rRNA from 1 species